rnacentral:lncRNA from 1 species
GCGCAGCCAUAAUCUCCGACAAGGUGAGUUUCAAAUCCUCUCUCCUUUCAUUCUGUUACCGCUAUGAUGUAGAAGAUAUGUAGAUGACUUAGCCGUAAUUCCCGGAGCUCCGAUUUUAGGAGAUCGGCGUCGGACGUAGGUUUUUGUUUUAGGAUUUCCGAUUAUCUCUCGCCGAUGUGAGAAACUCUGGAAGGAAGUAGAGAUUUC